rnacentral:rRNA from 1 species
AGUAACACGUCGGUAACCUACCCUCGGGAGGGGGAUAACCCCGGGAAACUGGGGCUAAUCCCCCAUAGGCCUGAGGUACUGGAAGGUCCUCAGGCCGAAAGGGGCUCUGCCCGCCCGAGGAUGGGCCGGCGGCCGAUUAGGUAGUUGGUGGGGUAACGGCCCACCAAGCCGAAGAUCGGUACGGGCCAUGAGAGUGGGAGCCCGGAGAUGGACACUGAGACACGGGUCCAGGCCCUACGGGGCGCAGCAGGCGCGAAACCUCCGCAAUGCGGGCAACCGCGACGGGGGGACCCCCAGUGCCGUGGCAUCGCCACGGCUUUUCCGGAGUGUAAAGAGCUCCGGGAAUAAGGGCUGGGCAAGGCCGGUGGCAGCCGCCGCGGUAAUACCGGCGGCCCGAGUGGUGGCCGCUAUUAUUGGGCCUAAAGCGUC